GAGCGAAUGGAUUAAGAGCUUGCUCUUAUGAAGUUAGCGGCGGACGGGUGAGUAACACGUGGGUAACCUGCCCAUAAGACUGGGAUAACUCCGGGAAACCGGGGCUAAUACCGGAUAACAUUUUGAACCGCAUGGUUCGAAAUUGAAAGGCGGCUUCGGCUGUCACUUAUGGAUGGACCCGCGUCGCAUUAGCUAGUUGGUGAGGUAACGGCUCACCAAGGCAACGAUGCGUAGCCGACCUGAGAGGGUGAUCGGCCACACUGGGACUGAGACACGGCCCAGACUCCUACGGGAGGCAGCAGUAGGGAAUCUUCCGCAAUGGACGAAAGUCUGACGGAGCAACGCCGCGUGAGUGAUGAAGGCUUUCGGGUCGUAAAACUCUGUUGUUAGGGAAGAACAAGUGCUAGUUGAAUAAGCUGGCACCUUGACGGUACCUAACCAGAAAGCCACGGCUAACUACGUGCCAGCAGCCGCGGUAAUACGUAGGUGGCAAGCGUUAUCCGGAAUUAUUGGGCGUAAAGCGCGCGCAGGUGGUUUCUUAAGUCUGAUGUGAAAGCCCACGGCUCAACCGUGGAGGGUCAUUGGAAACUGGGAGACUUGAGUGCAGAAGAGGAGAGUGGAAUUCCAUGUGUAGCGGUGAAAUGCGUAGAGAUAUGGAGGAACACCAGUGGCGAAGGCGACUCUCUGGUCUGUAACUGACACUGAGGCGCGAAAGCGUGGGGAGCACACAGGAUUAGAUACCCUGGUAGUCCACGCCGUAAACGAUGAGUGCUAAGUGUGAGAGCGCUUUCCGCCCUUUAUUGCUGAAGUUAACGCAUUAAACACUCCGCCUGGGGAGACGGCCGCAGGGCUGAAACUCAAAGUAAUUGACCGGGGCCCGCACAAUCUGUGCAACAUGUGGUUUAAUUCAAAGCACCCCAAAAACUUACCGGGGGUGAGAUCCUCUAACACGCCUAAAAUUAGGUUUUUCCUUCCGAACAGACUAAAUU
rnacentral:rRNA from 1 species